UACGUAGGGGGCUAGCGUUGUCCGGAAUCAUUGGGCGUAAAGAGCGUGUAGGCGGUCCGGUAAGUCCGCUGUGAAAGUCGGGGGCUCAACCCUCGAAUGCCGGUGGAUACUGUCGGGCUAGAGUGCGGAAGAGGCGAGUGGAAUUCCUGGUGUAGCGGUGAAAUUCGUAGAUAUUGGGUGGAACACCGGUGGCGAAAGCGGCUCUCUGGUCCGGACCUGACGCUGAGGCGCGAAAGCGUGGGGGAGCAAACAGGG
rnacentral:rRNA from 1 species